UGGGAAUGAGAUUGGCUCAGUGGAAGAGCAUCUGCUUGGCAUGCAGAAGACUGUGGGUUCAAUCCCCGGCAUCUCUAG
rnacentral:tRNA from 1 species